rnacentral:rRNA from 1 species
UUUUGGACAAUGGGCGCAAGCCUGAUCCAGCCAUUCCGCGUGAGUGAAGAAGGCCUUCGGGUUGUAAGGCUCUUUCGCAAGGGAAGAAAACUUACUUUCUAAUAAAGAGUGAGGUUGACGGUACCUUGAUAAGAAGCACCGGCUAACUACGUGCCAGCAGCCGCGGUAAUACGUAGGGUGCGAGCGUUAAUCGGAAUUACUGGGCGUAAAGCGUGCGCAGGCGGCUUUGUAAGUCAGAUGUGAAAUCCCCGAGCUCAACUUGGGAACUGCGUUUGAAACUACAAGGCUAGAAUAUGUCAGAGGGGGGUAGAAUUCCACGUGUAGCUGUGAAAUGCGUAGAGAUGUGGAGGAAUACCAAUGGCGAAGGCAGCCCCCUGGGAUAAUAUUGACGCUCAUGCACGAA